CCUGAGAAACCCGAAAGAUCGAAUGGGGAGAUUCAUCGUCAGCGCACUCAGUAUAUGUGUAGAUUGUGAUGUGAUUUAUCCUUGUGGUAAUGUUUGCACACGUUUGCACAUUUAAUUGCUGGGUGUUGUCGGCGUGCACCUUCUCCCCUAGUAGGACGUCGCGACCCGUUGAGUGUCGGUCUAUGGCCCGGUAGGUAGUCUUUGACAUUUAUGUUGAAGGCCUCUGGUGUUUUCUGGCCGGCUGCUCGGCGGUACUCGCACGGUAUUGAGUCGCAAAUUAUUUGCGUCAAACCCGCCGCAAGUGAGAUUAAUCUUUGGUAGUUACGGACUUAGUGCCGUCGNUAAAGUUAGUCAGCUGUUCGUCGUGCGGUGUUCUAUGACUGGCUCAUAUUUUUAUUAAAUACCGGUCGGCGACGCUACUGCUUUGGG
rnacentral:rRNA from 1 species